rnacentral:rRNA from 1 species
CCUACGGGUGGCAGCAGUGGGGAAUUGUUCGCAAUGGGCGCAAGCCUGACGACGCAACGCCGCGUGGAGGACGAAGAUCUUCGGGUCGUAAACUCCUGUCGAGCGGGAAGAACACCUGCCUGGUGAACAACCGGGCAGGCUGACGGUACCGCUAAAGGAAGCCCCGGCUAACUCCGUGCCAGCAGCCGCGGUAAUACGGGGGGGGCAAGCGUUGUUCGGAAUUACUGGGCGUAAAGGGCUCGUAGGCGGCCAACUAAGUCAGACGUGAAAUCCCCAGGCUCAACCUGGGAACUGCGUCUGAUACUGGAUGGCUUGAAUUCGGGAGAGGGAUGCAGAAUUCCAGGUGUAGCGGUGAAAUGCGUAGAUAUCUGGAGGAAUACCGGUGGCGAAGGCGGCAUCCUGGACCGACAUUGACGCUGAGGAGCGAAAGCUAGGGGAGC